UACGUAGGGUGCGAGCGUUAAUCGGAAUUACUGGGCGUGAAGUGUGCGCAGGCGGCCGAGCAAGUCGAGUGUGAAAGCCCCGAGCUUAACUUGGGAACUGCGCUCGAAACUACUUGGCUAGAGUGUGGCAGAGGGAGGUGGAAUUCCACGUGUAGCGGUGAAAUGCGUAGAGAUGUGGAGGAACACCGAUGGCGAAGGCAGCCUCCUGGGCCAACACUGACGCUCAUGCACGAAAGCGUGGGGAGCAAACAGG
rnacentral:rRNA from 1 species